UCGUUAAACAGGCGGAAAAAACAAUAAGUGCCAAAGAAAACUACGCACUGGCUGCUUAAGUAGCGGUCACGCUUGCGAUAUCGUUGCCACUGCGAUAUCGACAGGCGUCACAAUAGGUGGCAAGCCUUCAGACAGCUCCUCCCUGUCUGAAGGGACAUUCUAGGAGGAUAGGCAAGCGAGAUCCUGUCCCUGGGAGAGCGCUUAGCCGAAAAUUAAAACAGGGACUACGCCCGUAGAACUUCACGGCUGGCCCUUGUCGGACGGGGGUUCGAUUCCCCCCGCCUCCACCA
rnacentral:tmRNA from 1 species